GAUGAACGCUGGCGGCGUGCCUAAUACAUGCAAGUCGAGCGAACAGACGAGGAGCUUGCUCCUCUGACGUUAGCGGCGGACGGGUGAGUAACACGUGGAUAACCUACCUAUAAGACUGGGAUAACUUCGGGAAACCGGAGCUAAUACCGGAUAAUAUAUUGAACCGCAUGGUUCAAUAGUGAAAGACGGUUUUGCUGUCACUUAUAGCUGGAUCCGCGCCGCAUUAGCUAGUUGGUAAGGUAACGGCUUACCAAGGCAACGAUGCGUAGCCGACCUGAGAGGAUGAUCGGCCACACUGGAACUGAGACACGGUCCAGACUCCUACGGGAGGCAGCAGUAGGGAAUCUUCCGCAAUGGGCGAAAGCCUGACGGAGCAACGCCGCGUGAGUGAUGAAGGUCUUCGGAUCGUAAAACUCUGUUAUUAGGGAAGAACAAAUGUGUAAGUAACUAUGCACGUCUUGACGGUACCUAAUCAGAAAGCCACGGCUAACUACGUG
rnacentral:rRNA from 1 species